AGAGUUUGAUUCUGGCUCAGGACGAACGCUGGCGGCGUGCCUAACACAUGCAAGUCGAGCGAGGAAUGACUGGUAGCUUGCUACCGGUUAUUUCUAGCGGCGGACGGGUGAGUAACGCGUGAGCAACCUGCCUUUAUCAGGGGGAUAACGCAUCGAAAGAUGUGCUAAUACCGCGUAAGACCACAGCCUCACAUGGGGCAGGGGUCAAAGGAGGAAUCCGGAUAAAGAUGGGCUCGCGUCCGAUUAGCUAGUUGGUGAGAUAACAGCCCAUCAAGGCGACGAUCGGUAGCCGACCUGAGAGGGUGAUCGGCCACAUUGGAACUGAGAGACGGUCCAGACUCCUACGGGAGGCAGCAGUGGGGAAUAUUGGGCAAUGGGCGAAAGCCUGACCCAGCAACGCCGCGUGAGGGAAGAAGGGUUUCGGCUCGUAAACCUCUGUCCUAUGGGACGAAGGAAGUGACGGUACCAUAGGAGGAAGCCCCGGCUAACUACGUGCCAGCAGCCGCGGUAAUACGUAGGGGGCGAGCGUUGUCCGGAAUGAUUGGGCGUAAAGGGCGCGUAGGCGGCCUGCUAAGUCUGAAGUGAAAGUCCUGCUUUCAAGGUGGGAAGUGCUUUGGAUACUGGUGGGCUGGAGUGCAGGAGAGGAAAGCGGAAUUACCGGUGUAGCGGUGAAAUGCGUAGAGAUCGGUAGGAACACCAGUGGCGAAGGCGGCUUUCUGGACUGAAACUGACGCUGAGGCGCGAAAGCGUGGGGAGCAAACAGGAUUAGAUACCCUAGUAGUCCACGCCGUAAACGAUGAGUACUAAGUGUUGGAAUUUCCAGUGCUGAAGCUAACGUAUUAAGUACUCCGCCUGAGUAGUACGGUCGCAAGGCUGAAACUCAAAGGAAUUGACGGGCACCCGCACAAGCGGUGGAGCAUGCUGUUUAAUUCGAAGAUACGCGAAGAACCUUACCUAGACUUGACAUCCCUGGCAAAGACAUGGAAACAUGUUGGAGGUUAACCGGGAGACAGGUGGUGCAUGGUUGUCGUCAGCUCGUGUCGUGAGAUGUUCGGUUAAGUCCGCUAACGAGCGCAACCCUUAUCCUUAGUUGCUAACAUUAAGUUGAGAACCCUAAGGAGACUGCCGGUGAUAAGCCGGAGGAAGGUGGGGAUGACGUCAGAUCAUCAUGCCCCUUACGUCUAGGGCUACAGGCGUGCUAUAAUGGCCAAUAUAAAGAGAAGCAAUACCGUGAGGUGGAGCAAAACUCCAAAGUUGGUCUCAGUUCGGAUUGAAGUCUGCAACUCGACUUCAUGAAGUUAGAAUCGCUAGUAAUCCUGAAUCAGAAUGUCAGGGUGAAUACGUUCCCGGGUGUUGUACACACCGCCCGUCA
rnacentral:rRNA from 1 species